UACGAAGGGGGCUAGCGUUGCUCGGAAUCACUGGGCGUAAAGCGCACGUAGGCGGAUCUUUAAGUCAGGGGUGAAAUCCUGGAGCUCAACUCCAGAACUGCCUUUGAUACUGGGGAUCUCGAGUCCGGAAGAGGUGAGUGGAACUCCGAGUGUAGAGGUGAAAUUCGUAGAUAUUCGGAAGAACACCCAGUGGCGAAGGCGGCUCACUGGUCCGGUACUGACGCUGAGGUGCGAAAGCGA
rnacentral:rRNA from 1 species